CUGAUCCAGCCAUUCCGCGUGCAGGAUGAAGGCCCUCGGGUUGUAAAGUGCUUUUGUANGGAAGGAAAAGGCUUCUCUUAAUACGNGGAGCUCAUGACGGUACCGUAAGAAUAAGCACCGGCUAACUACGUGCCAGCAGCCGCGGUAAUACGUAGGGUGCAAGCGUUAAUCGGAAUUACUGGGCGUAAAGCGUGCGCAGGCGGUUAUAUAAGACAGAUGUGAAAUCCCCGGGCUCAACCUGGGAACUGCAUUUGNGACUGUAUAGCUAGAGUACGGUAGAGGGGGAUGGAAUUCCGCGUGUAGCAGUGAAAUGCGUAGAUAUGCGGAGGAACACCGAUGGCGAAGGCAUUCCCCUGGACCUGUACUGACGCUCAUGCACGAAAGCGU
rnacentral:rRNA from 1 species